UACAGCUUACUAUUUGCCUCUCCCACUCUGCCUUUGAGCUGUGGAGAAUGGAGUUGGAGGUGGUUAAGGGAAAUAAAAGGAGAGAUGUAGCUGUGGUAGAUAGCUGUGAUGAAAUAGGAGAAAGGUGCUGCAGCGAUUCUUUGGUUCUUUGCUAAUGCCAGCUGCUGAGAUUAUUCAUCCUGUUCAACAACAAGCUAGUUGAGACUAGAUAAGAUAAAAGGUCCAGAAAAUAAUCAGCUAAGAGAUGGGGCACUAUCUCCUAAAUCUGAAACAAGAUCUUGGGUCCAUCUCCUGUGCUGAUAGUUUCAGAACUCUAAUAGUUCCAGGCUUGUUUUAUCUGUCUCAGAUACAUGAGGAAAGUUUCUCCAAGGAGAAAUGGACAAUAGAGGUAUCUUUGAUCUCCUGGGGGAUAACCUUCCCUUGCCAUAUAAUUAAGAAGAUUUCAGUCAACUUUUGAUUGAGAAAUGGAUCCCUUGCCUUGUUACUCUCUGCUGGAAUUGAAUUGACGCCAAGGACUUUGUCACACAAGAGUAGCCUGGUGGCAUUUAAAACCUUAAUGGCUUCAGCAUUGAUUGGUGAUGGUCUGUUGAGAAUGCUAUGGUGUUCAUCCCAUCUCUCCAGGAUCAUGUCCUUCUCAAUGACCAAUGUGACUUUAUUAGCAUGGAGUAGAUGAGAUGCACCAUAGGUCUUUGACCCAUAAAUAAUCAUCAGGACAUCAUAAAAGUGAUUUGAGUUGUUAUCAGUAUUAAACUGCAUUCCACCUGCAAUCCCACUGAACCAAAAAUCCUGCAUCUCUCUAAUUUUCAUUUGCACUUUACUUUUGGAGUUAAGCACUGCCUUCUUAGAGAUAGACAAAUCCUUAGGAGUUCUCAGUUUUUGUACUUUCUGAAUUUCUUCUUCAUUUUCAUCAAACCAAUCCUAAUGUUUAUGAGUAUUCUGGCUCAGACAAGUAAAUGCAGUGCAAUACACCAAACCUAUGAAAGCUACUUAUUCUUUUUCUAUUUCACUAUUGCCAACCAAGUGUACACUCAGCUUUCCCUCCAAGUCAGCAACAAACUGUUCAGGCAAGGAGAAGCACUCCAAUCUGUUGAUGUUAGGUCUUUUGGUAGUUGCCUUACACUGGGGCUGCCACUUUUGUUAAAUGUUAGCUCAAAAAGGAUAGGUCUGUGAUAAGUCUAGCAUAAUGAGCCACAAAUUGCCUUCUUCAUUCUGAUACCCUGUCUAUUUCUUCUCCUUACAGUGAUAGUUUAUUAAAUACCAAUGUUUGCUUCCAUGGGUGUAAGCAUGAAGUUUUAUUAUAUUUAGGUAAGUGGAAGACAACAUUGGUGAUUAGAAAAUCAAGAGAUGAAAAGUCUUUUUGGCAAAAAAAGCAAAAAGAA